CUUAAUAUAUAUAGUUGAUUCGGUGGCGGGUGCCAUGGGUUUGAAUGACUUGCCUUUAUAUAUGAUAUAUACAUAUAUAUUGUGUUGUGUGCUGAAAGUGGCUGGAAAGAGAAGUUUAAAAGAAAAUGAAGAAAAGAAAGGUGAGUGGGAGCGGGACCUACAAAAUUGAUUUUUUUUUUUUUUUUUUUUUUUUGAAGUCCGCGGUUUUGCUUAUAAAUUGAGGGUGGUAUGUGAUACAAAGACGGAAGAGAAAAGUUAAUACAGAGAAAGAGCCGAGAUAGAGAGUCUUGAGAAAUAUAGAGUGAACCGAGAGAACGAGAGAGAUUGAUGAGGGACAGAGAGUGAGUCAAAGAGUCUGCAGAGGAGGGCGGAGGUUUGAGAACUUGGUGAUCUAGACACGGAUGGCAAGUGGCGGAUGAUGCUCUUCCACAUGGUUCCAUGAGUUCGUAAACCGUUUUGACAUACUUUGUAGCUAUAAUCUCAAUUUAUUAUUAUUUAAUUAUUUAUUUAUUUAUUUUAUUUAUAAAUCCGGAAUGACAUGUAUAAUAUGUAUUAACGUAGAAAAUAAUGGUGUUGUCCCUAAUUGACCUAUAACCGAACCCGACUAACGGUUCGGACCGACGGGUUCGAGUCGUUACAAAUAUAUUACUUAAAUAAAAAAUACUUUCUUUUUCAUAUAAUACAUAUUCAUAAAAAUUUAAUAAAUUAAUUAAAUUGUUUUAAAAUUAUUUACUUAAGAUUUUUAUUUAAGCAAUUAAUUUUAAAAAUAAAAGGUAAAUUUAAGCAAAUUUAAUGGAUAAUAUAUCAUCAAAUUAGUAUAAUUUUUUUUCAUAAUGUAUUUUAAUAAGAAAAAUAAAUUAAGUUUAGUUGAAUAAGAAAGGAUAUCAUAGUCAUUUAAUGAAAUGCAACAAAUACAUCUAACAAUUGAAAAAAAAAAAAAAAAAAAAAAUUAA